rnacentral:misc_RNA from 1 species
AAUAUGUAACAAUACCCCCCCCAAGACAAUCUUCUUGUCCCCAAGAAGAUUUGAAGUCAGGAAAUUGGCUUUGGAUAAAAGACUGAUCUUCCCAUGUAGCUUCCUCCUCAGGCAAAUGAAGCCAUUUAAUGAGGCCUUGAAGGACCUGCUGCUGUUGCCUAGUUACAGUUCUUGUCUUCAACACCCUCUCAGGAGCUACCACAAUCAUGUCAUCCUGAAAAGUGGGAAGAUUUUGGACUACAAGAGUACCUUCACCUACUUUUCUCUUUAAGAGUGACACGUGAAAAACAGGAUGAAUGGAUGCUGUGGGAGGUAACUUCAAUUUAUAAGCAACAGAACCCACUUUAGCCUCUACCUGGAAUGGACCAUAGAACCUUGCUGCUAGCUUGAAAUUCUUUCUUAGAGCCACUGAUGUUUGUCUGUAGGGCUGCAACUUAAGGUAAACCCAGUCCCCCACUUCAAAAGUCCUCUCAGACCUCUUUUUCUCAGCAUACUGUUUCAUCCUAUUCUGAGCCAUUAAUAGAUUGUCCCUAAUUAGCUGAGACAUGUGCUGCCUACCCUUCACAAAGUCAACAACAGACCUACGAUAGUAUCAUCCAAAGGCAGAAAUGUCAAGGAGGUGGUUUGUAACCAUAGAGAGUCUCAAAUGGAGUCAUUUUCAAGGAAGAAUGAUGGCUAGUAUUAUACCACCACUCGACCAAUGGUAACUACUUGGCCAAAGAAUGUGGUUGUUGAUAACAAAGACACCUCAAGUGCCCCUUUAGGCUUUGGUUUAGCCUUUCAGAUUGACCAUCUGAUUGGGGAUGGUAUGCUGAAGUAUAAGCCAAUUUGGUUCCCAACAACCUGAAUAGUUCUUUCCAAAAAGAACUAGUAAAAAUCUUAUCUCUAUCAGAGAUAAUAGUAAUAGGGCAGCCAUGUAAUUUGAAGACAAAAAUCCAAGAAUAAUUUGGCAACAUCAGAAGCAGAAAAAGGAUGCUGAAGUGGCACAAAGUGAGCAUACUUAAUAAAUUUGCAAAUGACCACAAGAAUGGUGUCUUUGCCUUUGGACUUUGGCAAUUGCUCUACAAAGUCCAUAGUGAUAUGCUGCCAAGCUUGAUGAGGAACAGGCAAGGGCUGUAACAGCCCAGGGGUGGCACAAGUCUCAACCUUACACCUGGCACAAACAUCACAACUUCUUACCCACUCAACUACUGCCUUAAGCAUCCCAGGCCAAAAGAAAUGCCUGCUAAGUCUCACUGAAGUGGCAUUAAUUCCUAAGUGUCCUCCCAACUGUGAGUUGUGAUAGAGAGCCAAUAAAUGCUCCCUCAAACGCCCUGUUCUAACCCACAUAAAGUCUGUCUUUGUAAAACAACAAUCCAUCUUUCAAAGAGUACCCAGGAUGUGCAUUUGCAUCAAUAGAAAGGUGAGAAAUUAAGUCAUUAGCUUGCUUAUCAGUAGCAUAGCUAUGAAUUAAGUGUGACAUUGAAGUAGGUUGCAGGGAAGAAGAAUGCAAGGCCAGUAAAGUAGCUUCCAAGGGUGCAGGUUUCUUAGACAGGGCAUCUGCCACCUUAUUAUCCACCCCUCUUCUGUAUAGGAUUCUGUAUUGCAGACCCAGCAAUUUAGAAACCCCUCGAAGUUGCAAGUUAGUAUGCAACCUCUGCUCUAACAAAUGUUUGAUACUUUCAUGAUCAGUCUUUAUGAAAAAGGGUCCCUGUUCCAAGUAAUGUCUCCAUUUUGACACAGCAAAUGUUAUAGCCAAUAAUUCCCUUUCAUAAACUGAUAAAGACCUUGUCCUAGGACCAAAUGCCUUAGAAAUAAAGGCAAGUGGAUGCCCAUCCUGCUGCAACAUAGCUCCCAUACCCAUACAACUAGCAUCAGUCUCCACUAUGAAAGGUUUUGUAAAAUUUGGCAAGGCUAACACAGGAGCUUGGGACAUAGCAGCCCUAAGUUGCUCAAAGGCCUGUUGUGCUUUCUCAUCCCAUUGAAAUGCAUCUUUUUUGAGUAAAUCAGUAAGGGGCUUGCUAAUUAUUCCAUAAUGAGGAACAAAUUUCCUAUAGUAGCCAGUUAAUCCCAAGAAACUCCUGAGUUCUUUAACUGAUUUGGGAGUAGGCCAAGAUAUCAUGGCUUGUAUCUUAGUAGGAUCAGUUGCUACACCUUUGCCAGAAAUAAUGUGUCCCAAAUAAUCAAUCUCAUGCUGCCCAAAAGAACACUUGCUAAGCUUAGCAUACAGCUGCUGUUGUUGCAGGAUUUUAAACACUGCUUCUAAGUGCUGCAAAUGCUCUUUCCAUGAAGAACUAUAUAUCAAAAUGUCAUCAAA